GUUCUUGUGAUGACUGUUUUUCAGUUCAACUGCUGAGUGAUUUCAGAAAUGAACUAAAUCUUAACACUGAUCUAA